UAAUGUUUCUGUUUCCCCGUGACGAUUCAUAUUCCCUUUAAAAGUUCGAUCGAUCGAGGCAUUUCAUUUGCUCACUUUUACACUUCAUAAUCUACACAUUCCUCAUUUGAAUUUGCUCACUUUUACACUUCAUAAUGUUUCUGUUUUCAUUUAUUCAAACUCAUUCGGUCGUUUUUGGAUAUAAAGUAUAGUAAGUAUAGAUAUUACUGAUAAGUGUUUUUAUUAUUUUAGAUGGAUUGUUUGGAGGAAAUUUUCUUAAAUCCAAAUGCGCCGGAAGGUGUAAAUGACGAGUUUGUGUACGAAGAGCCCGAUGACGAAUUUGAAUCCCCAGAUGUCCGUGCUGAAUUUGAUUACGAUCACGAUGUUUUUUAUACCAAGGAGGUGUUUGACACACACAUAGAUUUGGUAGACUGGGCUCAAAGAACGGCAAAGGAGCUUGGUUAUGUGUUAGUAACACGAAGAUCAAAUGCCACAAAAGGCGGAGAAGUUAAAAAGGUGGUCCUUAUUUGCAACCGUGGUGAAAAAAAGAUAAGCGGUCAACCGGGGCACCCAAAGGGAGUACCAAAAUUGACUGUCCAUUCAAAUUGGUAGGCCGUCUGACAAAGGACCAUAGUUGGUGGGUUGAAGUUAUAGAUCACCGACAUAACCAUCCAUCAGCUCGUAAUUUGGAAGGUAUUGCGUACGCAAGACGACUAACCGAUGUUCAAAAAGAAUUUGUGGACGAAAAGGCGUUGCUAGGUUUUGGGCCAAAUAGCAUAAGGGACCAAUUGAAGGAUGCAUUUCCCGGCAUCUUGACCCGUUCACAAGACAUUUCUAACUACCUGCGGCAACACCGGCUAAAGCACGCCCAACAACGAGGGGAAACUCGAAUGCAGAUCGUGCUCCAAUUACUAUCUGACCAUCAGUACACGUAUCAGUACACGACGGAUAGCAAAACCGGAUGUUUGACCAAUCUCUUUUUCGUACAUCCUACAUCACUUGACAUAUGGCGUGCAUUUCCUUGGAUCAUUGAA